rnacentral:rRNA from 1 species
UGCGAACUCCUACGGGAGGCAGCAGUGGGGAAUUUUGGACAAUGGGCGCAAGCCUGAUCCAGCCAUGCCGCGUGUCUGAAGAAGGCCUUCGGGUUGUAAAGGACUUUUGUCAGGGAAGAAAGGGCUGUUGCUAAUACCGACAGCUGAUGACGGUACCUGAAGAAUAAGCACCGGCUAACUACGUGCCAGCAGCCGCGGUAUAACGUAGGGUGCGAGCGUUAAUCGGAAUUACUGGUCGUAAAGCGGGCCCAGACGGUUACUUAAGCAGGAUGUGAAAUCCCCGGUCUCAACCUGGGAACUGCGUUCUGAACUGGGUGACUAGAGUGUGUCAGAGGGAGGUAGAAUUCCACGUGUAGCAGUGAAAUGCGUAGAGAUGUGGAGGAAUACCGAUGGCGAAGGCAGCCUCCUGGGAUAACACUGACGUUCAUGCUCGAAAGCGUGGGUAGCAAACAGGAUUAGAUACCCUUGUAGUCCAGAAGUG